AUGAUGAAAACUGCACCAGAGCAUUGGUGUCGGGCCUACUUCAGGAUUGGCUCUUUCUGUGACUCAGUUGAGAACAACAUGUGUGAGUCAUUUAAUAAUGCCAUCAUGAGAUCAAGGUUUUACCCUGUAGUAACGGCAAUGGAAAUCAUUAGAAAGAAGGUCACUGUGAGGAUCCAACAAAACAGAGCAAAGUCUCAGAAGUGGCAUGGAACCAUUUGUCCAAAUAUUUUUAAGAAAUUGAAGGUGAACAUUGAAAGAUCCGCUAGGUGUCAAGUGUUGUGGAAUGGAAAGGAUGGGUUUGAAGUACAAGAAGGUGAGCACAGGAGAUACACGGUCAAUCUAGAAAACUGGACAUGUUCAUGUAGAUAUUGGCAACUUUCUGGCUUACCUUGUUGUCAUGCAGUGAGUGCAAUCUACACCUGCUCUAGAGAUUUGGACCUAUACAUUUCACCUUGCUACUCAAUAGCUGAGUACGACAGAAUUUAUGAUCAUGUUCUUCAGCCUGUGAAUGGACCAGAAGAUUGGCCAAUUUCUGACAAACUUAGACCUCUUCCACCUAAGAAAAGAACUCAGAAAGGCAGGCCCCAGACAAAGAGAAGGCAGGAAGAAGGAGAGAAACCUAGGGACCCAUCAAAAAUGUCACGAGCAGGCACUCGGGUCACAUGUUCUAGUUGUGGAACCCAAGGACACAACAAAAGAAAAUGUGCUAACAACAAUACUGCUGGCAAUAAAGAGCAAGCCAACUUCACAAGAGCAGCUACAAGGAGAAAGGAAAAGCAAGCAAGAACAGAGCAAGCUCAUGUCCCAUCAACACAACAAAGUUCAGCUCCUGGUCCAUCAUCAAAGCAAGCUCCUAGAGCAUCUAAGCCAGCAAAUAGGAUGAAGAAGGUCUCAACUUCAUAA
rnacentral:rRNA from 1 species